ensembl:lncRNA
GUUAGAAACAUAUACAUGGGCAAGUACCUACGUACGUACGUACGUACAUACAUACAUACAUACUUACAUACAUACAUACAUACAUACAUAAAUACAUAUGUACUCAUACUGAAAAAAAAAAAAAAAAAAAAAAAAAAUGCAGAACGUGAAUCAUAAACCCAAUGAUAUAAACUUUCAACAAAUAAAAAAUAUAAAUUAUGAAAAUGAUUACAUGAAUAAAGUGACUUCCAAGUCUUUACAUUUUAAUUCAAUUAACAACAACAACAACGAUAAUACAAAUUAUCCACCUAAUAAUAAUAUAUUAUUUAUGAAAAAUAAUUUAAUAUCUGGAAACAUGAAUAACGUUCCUAAUAGUACAUAUAAUUUUAACCAGAACCCGUUAGCGAAAGAUGUUACAAAUAUAAACACAAUAAAUAAAAAUAUAUUUAGUGAGAUACAACAUAUAAAUAAUAACAACAUGGAUAGAAACAGCAUCAAUAUUUUUCGUAACAAUAAUAAUAAUAGGAAUACCAAAAAUAGUGACUACAUAGUAUCAAGUGUUUAUCCACAGAAUUAUAAUUUUUUAGACACAAUCCCUGAUCCUAAUGUUAAUAGUAAUAAUAAUAUUAAGGCCAACGACUUAAAUAGUAAAAACUAUGUUGUUAUGAAUAAAAAUAUAAAUAAUUAUGAAAACGUUAACAAUGACGGUAAUAAUUAUUUGAAAGAAAGUUUAUACCUUAAUGCAAAUGCUGUUAGUACUAGUACAAUGCCUGGUAACAUUAACGCUAGUAGUAAAAAUGCUGUAUAUCACCAAACUAACCUGAAUAAUAAUACACUACAUAAUAUAAAAAAUAAUUUAACUAAUUUUAUGAAUCCUGGACUUGGACUUGGACUUGUGAUGAAUAAUAAAAAUAUAACAACAAGAAAUAAUUAUCCAAUUAAUGAUAAUACGAAUAUAGGUUUUAAUAAUUUAUCUAGUACCACACAUAUAGAUAACCUUAAUAGUAAUAAAAAUACAAGACUAAAGCUUUUCGAUAAUAACUUAGACAAAUUAAAACACAUGGAAACAAAUAAUAGUACACAUAAUAGUAAUAAUAAUAAUAGUACACAUAAUAAUAAUAAUAAUAAUAGUAAUAAUAUGCAACAACAAAUAUCAAUGAAUAUGUUUCCGAACACAAUUAAUAGCACUUUAAAUAACCCUAUGAUAAACAACGUAUCAAAUAAUAUAGCAAAUUCAUUAUCAAACAGCUUGGCUAACAAUUCGUUAGGCAAUAACUUAACAAACCCUAUGAAUUCUACUAUAAACAGUAACCAUUUCAAUCAACUAAACAACACCAUGACAGGUCUUUCAACAUUUAAUAUGCCAUCUAUACAUAAUAAUAACAAUGCUCAAAAUCUUAUAAAAACUAACAAUGCAGCUAUUGGCCAACAACUGAGUAUGGUCAACAUAAAUGCAACAACACUUGACGGUGCUAAUAUCAAUUUCAAUAAACAAUUUAUGUUACAAAAAACGAAUACAAGUACGAACAAUGUUGGUGGUGGUAUUAUAAAUGCUGCUUUUGCAUCUACAACUGGAGUUAAUACCGAUGCUAGCACCACAGGUACAAAACCAUUUCCAAUCAGUAACAAUAACAGUAAUAGUAAUAAUAAUAAUGUAACUCAUACCGGUCUGGCUGCCAAUCUUAACCCUAAUCUAAAUCCUAAUUUAACUAAUGAUCCUAGUUUAAAUAACAUGCAAAAUUGUGCAAACACGUCAUCUAUAUAUAGUUUACAUAACUAUCAUAAUAUACCGACUAUGCAAAAACAACAGCAAAGUUUUAUGAAUUUGAAUAACAUGCUUAGUAGUACUACUACGGUUGCUGGCACUACUAUUGGUGCAAAUAAUAAUAUAAAUGAUAAUAAAUUAAAAGCAGUACCUAAUUUAAUUAAUUAUGAUUAUUUUAAUGAUAAAGAUAUGUCUCAAAACAUAAACAAAGUCAACCAAAUGAAUAAUGUUGUUAAUAAUUUUGUUAGUAAUGACUCAAAUUCUAACUUGAAUGCUUUAUCUUUGUUUAGUAGUAAGUUGAAUGUGAUAAACAAUAAUACAGGCAUACUAAAUUCGAAAAAUCAACUUGGAUCCACAGGUAAAUGUAUAAGAUCUGUAACUAGUAACAUUAAUGGUAUUAACAAUAUGAAUACCUUCGAUAAUCUUAAUAGUAUGAAUACGUUUGGAAACAUUAACAACAUUAACAACGUUAACAAUGUUAACAACGCUAAUUAUAUGAACAAUUUAAAUUACACAAACAAUCGAAAAGACAUAAAUAUUUUAUCUGAUAUAGCUACAUUAAAUAGAAACAAUAAUUUAACACUCGAAUUUGGUGAUGAUGUUAAUGAUAUAUCAGUUUAUAAAAAAAAUCUAGGUGUAGGUAUACCACCAUUGGUUGACAAUCAAAUGUUUAAUACAAACAGUAAUGUUACAAGUAGUAAUGCCACUAGCUAUAAUGCCACUAGCUAUAAUGCUACUAGCAAUAAUGCCACUAGAAAUAAUGUCACUAGAAAUAAUGCCUCGAACAAUAAUGUCAUGAGUACAGAUAGUUAUGCAAACAUACUGAAGCAAUUAUGUACGCCCAUCAAAAACAAAUCCCGAAGUAAUCAAAUAAAUGAACGGUUAAAUGAAAAUUUACUUAUGGAUGAAGAUGAUAAUGAAAAUAAUAACAAUUAUAAUAGUACCAUUAUUAAUAAACAAGUUGAAAUAAAUGGUAGUAAUGCUGGUAAUAACGAUAAAAUUGUAGGAUUGUCUGGAGCCGUUAAUACAACUACUACUGGAUGUGCUCCUACUACUGGUAUUAAAAUAGACAAACUAUUACACGAAACAAACAAAAACCAAGCGAAUGGAAACAUAAACAAUACUAACAAUAUAUAUAAUUUAAACACACACAUAUAUAAUAACAACCCGUUUAGUAAUAAUACAAAUUAUAGCAAAGACACAUGUAGUGUUCAUACUAAUAGUAGUAGUAGUAACAACAGUAAUAUAUACGAACUGAAAAAAUUAAAUAUGUUUGUUGAUAAUAAAAUAAAAGAAGAAAAUAAAAUUGAGAACAAAACAAAUAAAAUAAAAAAAAAUAAAACAAAAGUUUAUUUUUAUAUUAACCCUACAUACAUUAUUGAACCAUUAAAACGUAAAAUCUACCAAAAUAUGUCAAUUUUUAUAGAAAAUCUAAUUAGUGAUAUAAAAGCAAUUGAAAACAAAAAUCGAGCAGAAAUAUUAGAGAAUUUGCAUAACACUCCAUGGUUUUGUAUGAUAUUUGAUUUUGAUGGUAUCAGCAAAUUACUAAAUGUUUUUAAUAAAUAUUUAAUUUAUUCUGAUUCAUUAAUAAUACCAGAUAUUUUAAUAGCUAAUAAACUAGAGGAAAAUUAUCAUAAUAAUAUGAUUAACAAUAAUGAAGUAGAAAAAAAAAAUAGUAAUAAUAAUAAUGAUGAUGAUGAUGAUGAUGAUGAUACAAACGAAAUGGGUAAUAUAAUUAAUAAAGUAAAAGACACAGAUGAUUCUGUUAUGGAUAAAACUAAUACAACCGUUAGUAAUAAUAAGAGUAAUACUACUACUACUACUACAAAAGAUAAAGAUAUGUACAUACAAACAAUUAAUUAUUUUUUUAAAAAAAGUGAUAAAAUUGAUUUGUUAAAUAAAAAAAUAUUUGAUUAUGAAAAUAGUAUAAUUGAAAAUGCAGAGAAAUUAAAUUAUUUAAAAGAAUUAUGUAAUGGCCUAAAUGAACGAAUUAAUAUGAAAAAAAAAAAAUUUAUUUUAUUAUUAGAAAAAGCGAAAUUGAAAAAUUUUACUUAUAAAAAUAGAGACUUACAAACGAUAUUAGAUGUGGAAAAAAAAAAAAAAUUAAAACAAAACAAAAUAAAUGAUCAUAAUUAUGAACAUGGGCAUGACUAUAAUCACAAUGAAGACACAACAAAUAAUAAUAACUUUAACUCUAUCAAUGAUUAUUAUCAAAUUUUCAAAGCAAUAAACGAAGGUUUGAAUUAUUUAAAAAGAUAUUCGAAUAUAAUAAUUAAUAAUCAGAACAUGCACAAUCAAAUUAUGAACGAACAAGAAGAAAGUUGCAAUUUUUACGACUCUUCUGCUUCUUCUGACGAUUUGAGUACCGAGCAUAAUGUACAUGGCGAUGAAUAUGAUGAUGAUAAUGAAAAUUAUUUUUAUGAUAUAGAAAAUACACAUAAUUUAAACGUAUCAAACAGAAACAUAAAAAGUAAAAGAAAAAAUAAAAAUGCGGAUGAAGAAACUGGAAACAACAAAAAUAAUUCUAUUAAUAAACUAAACGAAAAUGUUGAUAAUAAUAAAGAUUUCAGUAAAAAAAGAAAAACGGUUAUUCAAAUUAAAAAUCUGCAACGUGAGAAAGAGGAUAAUGAUGAAUGGGUUGACGAGUUUUUAGAUGAUUUUUAAGUUUAUCUGCAAAAAAAAAAAAGUCAACAAUUUGUGACUUCGUUGGACUGGGUAUAGGUAGCUGUACGUACAACAUAUAUACAUAUAUAUAUAUAUAUAUAUCUGUUAAUUGUGCAAGGAUAUUCAAUAUAUAACAUCCUAACUAAACAAAAUAAAACAAAAUAAAAAAAAUAAAACA